CUGGUAAGAUUCCUCUGGUAGUGUUGUCUGUGCUCUGUGACUUUACCACCACUGUUAAAUCUGAGAUCAACAUGUUUCAUAAAGGAAUAUACAACAUGGAUCACUAUCAAUACUGCUGCUGCUGUUGUCUUUCAUAUGGACAAUAUAGAGGAAUACUAUUAACACUGAUCUAAUGCUGGACUGUUCCUACACACUAGGAGAACACCUGAUACACAGAGGACAAAAUACUAAUCUGGAUUUAAGAUACAAUUCAUAUUUGUACUACCUAGAAAUGUUAUUAUGAAGUGUUUGUUCUACCUGGAAAAUGUUAAAGUGUAUUUAUGUUGAUUAUGAUUCUGUAUGCGUGAUCUUCAAUGUAACAGCUGCAGCAUCACAACACAGAGAGGUUUUUGUACCAGCAGUAACGGGGAUUGUAUCACUGUGGUUGACUUUUGGUGGUGGCACCAGACUUGAUGUUGGAAGUAACAGUGCCCCCACCCUCACCGUCCUGCCCCCCUCUAGUGAGGAGCUGUCCAGUACAACAACAGCCACACUGACAUGUCUGGCCAACAAGGGCUUCCCUUCAGACUGGACCAUGAGCUGGAAAGUGGACGGGACCAGCAAGAACCAGGAGACCAGUUCUAGGGUCCUGGAGAAGGACGGCCUGUACAGCUGGAGCAGCACCCUGACUCUCACUGGCCAGGAGUGGACCAAGGCAGGAGAGGUGACCUGUGAAGCCCAGCAGAAAUCCCAGACUCCAGUCACCAAGACCCUGAGGAAGGCUGACUGUUCUGGGUAGGAAGCCUCAGUCACACAUCCCUGUGGCGAGAAGCUGCUGGGUCCUCUGCUUUGACUCUGUUCUGAGAUCAGAUGUUCUCUGUCUGAAUUGAUCACUGACAUGUAGACUAACAGAGGGCUUUGCUUGAGUUCAUGUGUCAAUCCUCUCUGUAGACUGAGGUUGUAUCAGUGUUAGAUGUGAUGUGUUCUGUUUUUCUACUAUUAGAUACUGUAGGAAUGUUUGCUUUGAUGAUAAAUAUAUGAUAAUAAAAAUUUCCCUUUGGAACAAAUAUA